rnacentral:misc_RNA from 1 species
UGGAACACCUCCUUACCUGUAAGAACCUGCCUUUGUAGUGCUCACACAGAUUGUCUGAUAGAUGUAAAGAAGCAAGACGGCUGCGAAGUCGCGACACCUCGUGUCCCCUUCGUCUAGCGGUUAGGACUCCGCCCUUUCACGGCGGCAACAGGGGUUCGAAUCCCCUAGGGGACGCCACUUGCUGGCUGUGAGUGAAAGGCACAACCAACCGAUAUCUCAAAACUCAUCUUCGGGUGACGUUUGAGAUAUUUGCUCUUUAAAAAUCUGGAUCAAGCUGAAAAUUGAAACGACACACAGCUAAUGUGUGUUCGAGUCUCUCAAAUUUUCGCGACACGACGAUGUUUCACGAAACAUCUUCGGGUUGUGAGGUUAAGCGACUAAGCGUAC